rnacentral:tRNA from 1 species
GCAGGUAUGGUGGAAUUGGUAGACACGCUAUCUUGAGGGGGUAGUGCACAUUGUGCGUGUGAGUUCAAAUCUCACUAUCUGCACCA